rnacentral:misc_RNA from 1 species
AAUACCCAGUUAAUAAAAGUUGAAGACAUGGAGGCUCCAGUAUUUAAGGCUUUACUUCAUUUUAUAUAUUGGGAUUCAUUACCUGACCUGGAAGAGCUUACUGGUUUGAACUCAAAGUGGGCCUCAACUUUGAUGUCUCAGCAUCUGCUAGCAGCAGCUGAUAGGUAUGGUUUGGACAGGCUCAGAGUGCUUUGUGAGGCCAAUCUCUGUGAGGAUGUGGCUAUAAACACAGUGGC